AGCAUCAUUCUGUGUCAAGCGUGGAAUGAGACGUCAUUUUUAAUGGCUGCAGCAUAUUGUGUUGUAGAGUUUUCAUGAUUUAUUUAACCAGCCCUCUCCUGAUGACCAAGUUCCAGGAAGGUGAAGUUAUCUGGCCAGGAGAUCCAGAGUCACACCUCGAGUGGACUGCGUGGGGCUGCAUUCAGCGAGUGCACUAGUUCAACUCUAAGCCUCAAUUUUGGAAAAUGGAGUCAUAAUACCUAUCUCAUAGGAUUGUCUGAAGUCCAUGGAGUAUGAAUAUUUCCUUAUUUGCUGUUUAUCCUCAUGAGGUUCCAAGCAAUCACUGAGUAACUGUCACACGAGAGAAGAUGAAACCUUGGAAAUUACCAUCGAGGGGCUAAAAUAUAAGAAUGGUAUUUCUGAGCAAAAUG
rnacentral:lncRNA from 1 species